rnacentral:rRNA from 1 species
UACGUAGGGUGCAGGCGUUAAUCGGAAUUACUGGGCGUAAAGCGUGCGCAGGCGGCUUCCCAAGUCAGAUGUGAAAUCCCCGGGCUCAACCUGGGAACUGCGUUUGAAACUGGGAGGCUAGAGUGCGGCAGAGGGGGGUGGAAUUCCACGUGUAGCAGUGAAAUGCGUAGAUAUGUGGAGGAACACCGAUGGCGAAGGCAGCCCCCUGGGCCAGCACUGACGCUCAUGCACGAAAGCGUGGGGAGCAAACAGG